rnacentral:rRNA from 1 species
UACGGAGGGAGGCUAGCGUUGUUCGGAAUUACUGGGCGUAAAGCGCGCGUAGGCGGCUAUUCAAGUCAGAGGUGAAAGCCCGGGGCUCAACCCCGGAACUGCCUUUGAAACUAGGUAGCUAGAAUCUUGGAGAGGUCAGUGGAAUUCCGAGUGUAGAGGUGAAAUUCGUAGAUAUUCGGAAGAACACCAGUGGCGGAAGGCGACUGACUGGACAAGUAUUGACGCUGAGGUGCGAAAGCGUGGGGAGCAAACA